UGAGCUGUGGAUAGCGGAGAAAUUCCAAUCGAACUCGGAGAUAGCUGGUUCUCCUCGAAAUAGCUUUAGGGCUAGCGUCGGGUAAUUGAGUAGUGGAGGUAGAGCACUGAAUGGGCUAGGGGCUGACAACAGUUACUGCACCCUAUCAAACUCCGAAUGCCAUAUACUUGUACCCCGGCAGUCAGACUACGAAUGAUAAGAUCCGUGGUCAAAAGGGAAACAGCCCAGACCAUCAGCUAAGGUCCCAAAGUGUAAGUUAAGUGGGAAAGGAUGUGGGAUUUCUAAGACAACUAGGAUGUUGGCUUAGAAGCAGCCACUCAUUUAAAGAGUGCGUAAUAGCUCACUAGUCGAGAGAUCCUGCGCCGAAGAUGUAACGGGGCUCAAACUUACCACCGAAGCUAUGGAUGUGUACUUUGUACACGUGGUAGAGGAGCUUUCUGUACAGGUUGAAGUCAUACCGUAAGGAGUGGUGGACAGUACAGAAGUGAGAAUGCUGGCAUAAGUAGCGAAAAACAAGUGAGAAUCUUGUUGACCGAAUAUCUAAGGUUUCCUGGGGAAGGCUCGUCCUCCCAGGGUUAGUCGGGACCUAAGCCGAGGCCGA
rnacentral:rRNA from 1 species